ACAAUAGAUGAAUUGAGUCGUGGUCUUGUGUUUGUGAACCUGGGCUCCUGAUGUUAUCAGAGGCAAGACACCUUCACAGUGAAAUGCUGCAGGAAACCCUGCACACAAUAUAAGAAGAGGUCCAAUCAGACAAUAUGAUUUUCCUGUCCUGGUGGUGUGGAUUCAACAGACCAGGGUCUCCUGCUGCCAGCAAUGGAGCAACAUCCCGGUGAUGGAAAGCAUGUGGUGCAGUUGGUGUAUUUUAUUCAGGAAAGAAAUAUAAUAUUAGUCUAUUGAAUCCAGGCCAGCAGCCUUUCCUCCUCUCGCUUCUCUGCACUAAAAUAUGUUCAGCAGGAUCCCCUCCAUCAGCUUCUUUUCCACUGCUGUGACUUCCUUGACAUGAAAAGAGAAGCUAAAUAUUAGUUUCAGACUGAUUUGUGGUCUCAUUGGUGUCAGCUGCUUGCAGUUGUUAUGGCAAGAACAAUUCAGACGGUUUCCAGAAGAAUGUCUUUAAUCCAAUUUCCCCCCAGCCUUAACCAGGACCAUAUGCCUUUUCACUGGAGUGUGUUCUCAGCACAUGCAGCCCUGAUGGCUUUUAACAGCCCAUCACAGAGACUGACACGCACACAGAUACGUUCACGGAGACACCUCAGAGGCUGCUUCUUUCUUGGCUCCAUCUACUGCCACGAUUAACACGUUUUACGUCAGAUGCAGAGUCGCCAACAGGCCUUCCUUUGGUGUGAGGGCUUUCAUGUGACCCUGGUGACAUGGAGCUCUAGUGGUGACUGUCAUUACUCCGUAGAUGAGAGAGGCAUAUGCAUGAUACAGCUACAGCUAAUGAGGCUGGUUCGAGUCUGAGUGAUGGCUUCAGCAGGUCCUCCUCCUCAUGUGUCCGUUCUGGUCUGACAGCCAAAGGACAUAUUUCAGACAGGACUGCAGGAACCCUUUGGAUCAUGGAUCAGAAGUAAACUGAGGUCAUUGCUCUAUGGGGAUGAUCAUAGACAGAGUUUAGCAGAAUAUUUCAGCACCUGUGUGUCACUAUUUUAUAUAUUAGAGCAAAUAAGCUUUUGCCCUGAUGGAUUAGUUUAAAAAAAAAAAUCAGCAGUGGAAAGUAAAUUUGCUCUGGUGUUGUACUUGAGUGCAGCAUAAAUAAAUCAAAACUGAAUGAAAAAUAGC